rnacentral:rRNA from 1 species
AGUUGGAAACGACUGUUAAUACCGCAUAAUAUCUGCGGAUUAAAGGUGGCCUUUGUGCUGCCGCAGAUGGAUGAGCCUGCGUUAGAUUAGCUUGUUGGUGGGGUAAGGGCCUACCAAGGCUACGAUCUAUAGCUGAUUUGAGAGGAUGAUCAGCCACAUUGGGACUGAGACACGGCCCAAACUCCUACGGGAGGCAGCAGUGGGGAAUAUUGGACAAUGGGCGAAAGCCUGAUCCAGCAAUGCCAUGUGUGUGAAGAAGGCUUUCGGGUUGUAAAGCACUUUAGUUGGGGAGGAAAGCUUAUGAGUUAAUAGCUUAUAAGAAGGACGUUACCCAAAGAAUAAGGACCGGCUAACUCCGUGCCAGCAGCCGCGGUAAUACGGGGGGUCCGAGCGUUAAUCGGAAUUACUGGGCGUAAAGGGUCUGUAGGUGGUUUGUUAAGUCAGAUGUGAAAGCCCAGGGCUCAACCUUGGAACUGCAUUUGAUACUGGCAAACUAGAGUAUAGUAGAGGAAUGGGGAAUUUCUGGUGUAGCGGUGAAAUGCGUAGAGAUCAGAAGGAACACCAAUGGCGAAGGCAACAUUCUGGACUAAUACUGACACUGAGGGACGAAAGCGUGGGGAUCAAACAGGAUUAGAUACCCUGGUAGUCCACGCUGUAAACGAUGAGUACUAGCUGUUGGAGUCGGUGUAAAGGCUCUAGUGGCGUAGCUAACGCGAUAAGUACUCCGCCUGGGGACUACGGCCGCAAGGCUAAAACUCAAAGGAAUUGACGGGGACCCGCACAAGCGGUGGAGCAUGUGGUUUAAUUCGAUGCAACGCGAAGAACCUUACCUGGUCUUGACAUCCUGCGAACUUUCUAGAGAUAGAUUGGUGCCUUCGGGAACGCAGUGACAGGUGCUGCACGGCUGUCGUCAGCUCGUGUUGUGAAAUGUUGGGUUAAGUCCCGCAACGAGCGCAACCCCUAUUGAUAGUUACCAUCAUUAAGUUGGGUACUCUAUUGAGACUGUCGCUGACAAGGCGGAGGAAGGUGGGGACGACGUCAAGUCAUCAUGGCCCUUACGACCAGGGCUACACACGUGCUACAAUGGGUAUUACAGAGGGCUGCGAAGGUGCGAGCUGGAGCGAA